rnacentral:rRNA from 1 species
AGCAUAAUCAUUUGCCUUAUAAUUGAAGGCUUGUAUGAAUGGUUUGACGAAAACAAAGCUGUCUCUUUUUAAUUUUAUAAAACUUGAUUUUUAGGUGAAGAAGCCUAAAUAAAAUUGAAAGACAAGAAGACCCUAUCGAGCUUUAAAAAAUUUUAUUAAUAUAUAAUGAUUAAAAAAAUCAAAUAUAAUAAAAAAUUUUAGUUGGGGCGACUAAGGAACAAAAAAGCUUCCUUUUAAAGUAUAAAGCAAAUCAGCUAUGAUCCAAAAUUUUUGAUUAAAAGAAUUAGUUACCGUAGGGAUAACAGCAUAAUCUUUUUUGAGAGUUCUUAUCGAAAAAAAGGUUUGUGACCUCGAUGUUGGACUAGAAUAUCCUAAAUGAUGCAGAAGUCUUUAAGG